CCCGCUGAACUUAAGCAUAUCAAUAAGCGGAGGAAAAGAAACUAACAAGGAUUCCCUUAGUAACGGCGAGUGAAGUGGGAAAAGCUCAAAUUUUAAAUCACCUGGGUUUCCUUGGUGAAUUGUAAUUUGAAGAAAGUGUUUUGACGUUCGGGUUCGAUUUAAAUCCUUUGGGAUAAGGUAUCAUAGAGGGUUAGAAUCCCGUUUAUGAUUGUUCCUUUGAAUGUCUAUAAUUCACUUUCCAAGAGUCGAGUUGUUUGGGAUUGCAGCUCAAAAAGGGUGGUAAAUUUCACCUAAGGCUAAAUAUAUGCAAGAGACCGAUAGCGAACAAGUACCGUGAGGGAAAGAUGAAAAGAACUUUGAAAAGAGAGUUAAAUAGUACGUGAAAUUGUUGAAAGGGAAACGAUUAAAGUCAGUCAUGUUGGUAGGGAAUCAACUUGAUGGUUUGCGGGUUUACUCGUGUUCUUUCGAGUGCACUUCCUUACUUGCUAGUUAGCAUCAAUUUUGGUUAUCAUAUAAAAAUUAAGGGAAGGUGGCUUUUCUUCGGAAAAGUGUUAUAGACCUUGAUUAAUGUGGUGACCGGGAUUGAGGAUUGCAGCGGAUACCCUUUUGGGCUAGUCACCUUGCUUCUGAUGGUUACCCCGUCUUCGAUAGCUUGCUAACGUUGAUGGGAUUUAAUUAUCUAGAUGUUGGAGUGAUCAUAAAUUCGCUAAGGAUGCUGACGUAAUGGCUUUAAACGACCCGUCUUGAAACACGG
rnacentral:rRNA from 1 species